AGUGAACGCUGGCGGUAGGCCUAACACAUGCAAGUCGAACGGCAGCACAGUAAGAGCUUGCUCUUACGGGUGGCGAGUGGCGGACGGGUGAGGAAUACAUCGGAAUCUACUUUUUCGUGGGGGAUAACGUAGGGAAACUUACGCUAAUACCGCAUACGACCUACGGGUGAAAGCAGGGGAUCUUCGGACCUUGCGCGAUUGAAUGAGCCGAUGUCGGAUUAGCUAGUUGGCGGGGUAAAGGCCCACCAAGGCGACGAUCCGUAGCUGGGCUGAGAGGAUGAUCAGCCACACUGGAACUGAGACACGGUCCAGACUCCUACGGGAGGCAGCAGUGGGGAAUAUUGGACAAUGGGCGCAAGCCUGAUCCAGCCAUACCGCGUGGGUGAAGAAGGCCUUCGGGUUGUAAAGCCCUUUUGUUGGGGAAGAAAAACAGCAGGUUAAUCCCCCGCUGUUCUGACGGUACCCAAAGAAUAAGCACCGGCUAACUUCGUG
rnacentral:rRNA from 1 species